rnacentral:rRNA from 1 species
CAGCAUCCGCGGGAAUACGUAGGUGGCAAGCGUUGUCCGGAAUUAUUGGGCGUAAAGGGAGCGCAGGCGGGCGAGUAAGUCUUUCUUAAAAGUGCGGGGCUCAACCCCGUGAGGGGAGAGAAACUACUCAUCUUGAGUGCAGGAGAGGAAAGCGGAAUUCCUAGUGUAGCGGUGAAAUGCGUAGAUAUUAGGAAGAACACCAGUGGCGAAGGCGGCUUUCUGGACUGUAACUGACGCUGAGGCUCGAAAGCCAGGGGAGCGAACGGGAUUAGAUACCCGCGUAGUCCCUGUCUCUUAUACA